UACGGGGGGGGCAAGCGUUGUUCGGAAUUACUGGGCGUAAAGGGCGCGUAGGCGGGUGGACAAGUCUCUCGUGAAAGCCCACGGCUCAACCGUGGAAUUGCGGGAGAUACUGUCUGUCUUGAGUCCGGGAGAGGAGGGUGGAAUUCCCAGUGUUGCGGUGAAAUGCGUAGAUAUUGGGAGGACCACCGGUGGCGAAGGCGGCUCGCUGGACCGGUACUGUCGCUGAGGCGCGAAAGCUAGGGGAGCAAACGGG
rnacentral:rRNA from 1 species